rnacentral:piRNA from 1 species
UAAGGAUGUGCUUGUCUUCAGUUUAGUGA